CCUACGGGAGGCAGCAGUGAGGAAUAUUGGUCAAUGGACGAGAGUCUGAACCAGCCAAGUAGCGUGAAGGAUGACUGCCCUAUGGGUUGUAAACUUCUUUUAUAUGGGAAUAAAAUGUUCCACGUGUGGGAUUUUGUAUGUACCAUAUGAAUAAGGAUCGGCUAACUCCGUGCCAGCAGCCGCGGUAAUACGGAGGAUCCGAGCGUUAUCCGGAUUUAUUGGGUUUAAAGGGAGCGCAGGUGGAUUGUUAAGUUAGUUGUGAAAGUUUGCGGCUCAACCGUAAAAUUGCAGUUGAAACUGGCAGUCUUGAGUACAGUAGAGGUGGGCGGAAUUCGUGGUGUAGCGGUGAAAUGCUUAGAUAUCACGAAGAACUCCGAUUGCGAAGGCAGCUCACUGGACUGCAACUGACACUGAGGCUCGAAAGUGUGGGUAGCAAACAGGAUUAGAUACCCCUGUAGUC
rnacentral:rRNA from 1 species